AAAUUUGCUACAGGUGUAGGGAUACAUAGGGAUAACUCAAACGCAUAGUUUGUGAUGAUGUCAUCCACCCAAUUCAAGAUGAUGGAUACACGAAUGUUUUGGUCGCAAGUGGGCUAACUUGUGAACUGCCUAACCAAUCUGGAACAAACUUAGUCCAGUUGUAGAAAUAGUGAAAGUCGGCAGAAUAGUUCUUCCUAGAACAACUUGGGAUUUUUGGUUCUAGAAUGUGUGAUUUCCUGGUGCGUUCUAGAACAAAAGCAAACAUCUGCAUAAAGCGGCCACUGAGGAUGUUACCAGCUCCUCAGGUGCUGUUGGGGCUGCCUUUGCCUGCAGAGAUGGGGAGAAAAAGUUAAGAGGCAUAAUUGGCUCCCUCCGGUGCCACCCACCCAGUUCCAAGUCACCAGUGGCGACCAAGCAGGUGGCUAAUGAGCUAAAGCUUGGAGCGAGCUGAAGUUGGUGAGGGAUGCUAAGCAACAGAGAGGAGUUUCCCAGUCUUCUUCCAAAAGGGGAGCUGCAUGCAAUUUCACAAAAGCAGCGAGAAUGAGGAGUCAUGAUUGCAGUUCAAGAUGGAUAAGGAUUGGUCAAGAAACGCCGAUCGAGUUUUCAGGGCCAGGUGAAUUGCAUCCUAGGGCAUUAAAAGGACUUGCUGAUGUACUCUUAGAACCUCUCCAGCUCUCGCAAGAGGGCAGACAGAACAAGCCAGGUGCCAGAAGACUAGAGAUUGGCCGAUGUCCUGACCUUCAGAAAGGAGGAUUUGAAAAACUUUACCAAUCUGGCUCUGAUAACAAGCAAAAUACUAGAGCACAUUACAAAGCAGUCAGUGUGUAAGCAUCUUGAUAGCAAUGCACCGAUUAUUGGAAGCCAGUAUGGAUUUGUCAGAAUAAAUCCUGCCAGAAUAAUCUC